rfam:Schizophyllum commune H4-8 unplaced genomic scaffold SCHCOscaffold_11, whole genome shotgun sequence.
GGCGAGAUGGCCGAGCGGUCUAAGGCGCCAGACUAAGGAUCAGUCAGUAAUUACUGACGUAUCUGAUUCAGUCACUGAAUCAUCUGGUCUUUCGGGGCGUGGGUUCGAAUCCCACUCUCGUCA